rnacentral:rRNA from 1 species
GAUGAACGCUAGCUACAGGCUUAACACAUGCAAGUCGAGGGGUAGCAGGGUAGCAAUACCGCUGACGACCGGCGCACGGGUGAGUAACACGUAUCCAACCUUCCCAUAACUCUGGGAUAGCCUUUCGAAAGAAAGAUUAAUACCGGAUGGUACUUUUUCAAGGCAUCUUGAGAAAGUUAAAGAUUUAUUGGUUAUGGAUGGGGAUGCGUUCCAUUAGAUAGUUGGUGAGGUAACGGCUCACCAAGUCUUCGAUGGAUAGGGGUUCUGAGAGGAAGGUCCCCCACAUUGGUACUGAGACACGGACCAAACUCCUACGGGAGGCAGCAGUGAGGAAUAUUGGUCAAUGGGCGAGAGCCUGAACCAGCCAAGUAGCGUGAAGGAUGAAGGUCCUAUGGAUUGUAAACUUCUUUUAUAGUAGAAUAAAGUGACCCACGUGUGGGUUUUUGUAUGUAUACUAUGAAUAAGGAUCGGCUAACUCCGUGCCAGCAGCCGCCGUAAUAC